ACUUUGGUGGCGACCGGCGCCGGGGAGUAACGCGUAUGCAACCUACCUAUAGAGGGGAAUAACCCGGGGAAAGUCGGACUAAUACCGCAUAAAACAGGGGCACCGCAUGGUGAUAUUUGUUAAAGAAAUUCGCUGAUAGAUGGGCAUGCGUUCCAUUAGGUAGUUGGUGAGGUAACGGCUCACCAAGCCGACGAUGGAUAGGGGAACUGAGAGGUUGGUCCCCCACACUGGUACUGAGACACGGACCAGACUCCUACGGGAGGCAGCAGUGAGGAAUAUUGGUCAAUGGGCGGGAGCCUGAACCAGCCAAGUCGCGUGAAGGAAGAAGGAUCUAUGGUUCGUAAACUUCCUUUGAGGGGAAUAAAGUGCAGGACGUGUCUUGUUUGUAUGUACCCUGAGAAUAAGGAUAGGCUAACUCCGAGCCARCAGCCGCGGUAAUACGGAGAUCCGGCGUUAUCCGAUUUAUUGGGUUUAAAAGGGUGNGUAGGUGGUUUGAUAAGUCAGCGGUGAAAGUUUGCAGCUUAACUGGAAAAAUGCCGUGAAACGUCGGACUUGAGUGUAAAUGAGGUAGGCGGAAUGCGUGGUGUAGCGGUGAAAUGCAUAGAUAUCACGCAGAACUCCGAUUGCGAAGGCAGCUUACUAARCUACAACUGACACUGAAGCACGAAAGCGUGGGGNUCAAAACGGAUUAGAUACCCCUGGUAGUCCACGCAGAAACGAUGAUUACUAGCUGUUUGCGAUACACAGUAAGCGGCACAGCGAAAGCGUUAAGUAAUCCACCUGGGGAGUACGCCGGCANCGGUGNAACUCAAAGGAAUUGACGGGGGCCCGCACAAACGGAGGAACAUGUGGUUUAAUUCGAUGAUACGCGAGGAACCUUACCCGGGUUUGAACGUAGGGAGACAGGAGUGGAAACAUUCUUUUCAGCAAUGACUGCCUACGAGGUGCUGCAUGGUUGUCGUCAGCUCGUGCCGUGAGGUGUCGGCUUAAGUGCCAUAACGAGCGCAACCCUUAUUUCCAGUUACUAACAGGUGAAGCUGAGGACUCUGGAGAGACUGCCAGCGUAAGCUGUGAGAAAGGUGGGGAUGACGUCAAAUCAGCACGGCCCUUACAUCCGGGGCGACACACGUGUUACAAUGGUAASGMCAAUAACAGCUACCGGGCGACCGGAUGCGAAUCUCUAACCYUUCUYUCAUUCGGAUCGGAGUCUCAACUCGACUCCGGWAGCGAUCCUAGUAU
rnacentral:rRNA from 1 species